CACAUAUUUCUACACUAAGGCUAACCCUACUGAAGCAUUCAAGAUUCCCAGAGAACAGGUGUCCAAGCUUCUCCCAGUGUGCUUUGCUGAGAAGAUCCUUAGAGUUUACUGUAAGAACUCAGCCAGUCUGAGAGAUGCUAAGUUCUGCUUUCAAAGAUGGUAUCACGAAAAUGACUUUCUAACUGAGGAUCGAGACAGAGCAACUCCAUGAAAUGAAGAUGUGAAACACUGAGAAAUUAGAUUUUUUGUGUUACUUCAGAGAUUUAAAAACAGGUAAAUCAGCAAACUAAAGUGGUUUGAUGAAUAAAAUAUUUAUGACACAUUUUCACUAUAAUCAAACUAUAUAGCUCAACCUGGCCAAAGGUUUAGAUAAAGGCUGCUGCUGUGAUUUGCUCAUUGUGUGAAAAAUCAUUAUUUAUUAUAUAACAGGUCUCUAGAUGAAAAUUUUACC
ensembl:lncRNA